rnacentral:tRNA from 3 species
AGAGGCUUAGGAUAGCAUAAGACCAAGAGCCUUCAAAGCUCUAAGCAGAAGUGAAAAUCUUCUAGCCCCUG